AGAAUGGCUCCUCUCGGAGCCAUUUUUUUUACCUACUCCGUUAAUU
rfam:Idiomarina sp. A28L contig00022, whole genome shotgun sequence.